ensembl:lncRNA
GAAUGGUGUUGCACCCCUCCAGUAGAGUUCCAGAAUGGUGUUGCACCCCUCCAGUAGAGUUCCAGAAUGGUGUUGCACCCCUCCAGUAGAGUUCCAGACACCUGUAGAAUCGACUUAACGGCACAUUGAAGCUGUUCUGACGGAUCCUUCUGGCCCCUACACCCUAUUAAGUUGGUGUUUCUGUUAUUUUAGCAGUUACCGGUGUGUUCUUUUUGUAAAGACAUAACUAUAGUGAAAAGCACAGAAAGCCUAACUAGUAGAAGCUACACUCCCCUACGUUUUUUAUUUUAUUUGGACAGUGAAGCUAAAACUUUUACUUUGGCACUUCAGUAUACUCCAGCAUUUUGGGAUUUGAGAUCACAUGUUUAUAUGAGUAGACAGUACAGAAAGCCAUCUUUUUUAUCUGAGGGACUUUUCAUACGUAUCUGUUUUAUAGUUUAGAAAUGAAUGCACUUUAUGUAUCUAGUCCCCUCCAUUUGAAUUACUAUUUGGACAAAUGAACUUUAUAGUGUUUUAACAGUUUGUAAAACAAAAAGUGGUAUUUGGUCCCAUAUUCCUUGCACACAAUGACUGCAUCAAUCUUGUGACUCUAGAAACUUGUUGGAUGCAUUUACAGUUUGUUUUGUUUGUGUUUCGGAUUAUAUUGUGCCCAAUAGAAAUGAUUUAAAAAAAUAUAUAUUUUACUUCUGUUUAACUAGACAAGUGAGUUAAGAACAAAAUCUUAUUUUCAAUGACGGCCUAGGAACAGUGGGUUAACUGCCUUGUUCAGGGGUAGAAUGACAGAUUUUUUUACCUUGUCUGCUCAGGGAUUCGAUUUUGCCAUCUUUCGUUUAAUAGUCCAACGCUCUAACCACUAGACUACCUAGAGAAAUUCAUGGUGAAUAGUGUAUUGUCAUUUUGGAGUCACUUUUAUAAUGUAAAUCAACACUGCUACGUUAAUGUGGAUGCUACCAUGAUUACCGGUAAUCAUGAAUUAAUCAUGAAUAAUGAUGAGUGAGGAAAGCUAAGGGCAUAAAUGUCAUACCCCACCAAAAGAUGCUAACCUCUUGUUACUGGUAAUGGUAAAAAGUUAGCAUGUAUUGGGGGAAUGAUCUUUGUGAGUCUGUAGAUGCAUGAAGUGCAUUCAAUUUCUAAACUGUUAAACAGAUAUGUAUGAAAAUAGCCUCAAAUAAAAGGUGACUUUCUGUACUGUCACUGUCAAAUUAAACAUUUUAGUGUCACUGUCCAAGUAAAUACAUAGGGCUAUAGGGAAAGUAGACAACGGAAGCUAAACUACAGUAGAGGGGUAUAGUAAUAUGUUACAUUGAAAAUUGCAGUUGGGAUUGAAAUUCAGAAAUAUACUUGAUUUGCAGUACCCUCAUCUUCUGCAAACAAGUCUAGUUUUGCCAGUGUGUCAUUUAAAAAAAAAUCAUUUAUAAUAGUUCUGUAGAUGUCACUCUCUUUUCGAGUGCACAAUUCAGUAUACUACGCUUAUUGCAAUGGUCAUAGAUAUCAUGGUACUUAGGCAGACAGAUCCACAACACAGAGAUACAGUACAGAUGCAAUCACAGUCUAAAAAAAACAUGGCUAUGUUGCAUUCAUUUAAUAUUUUAUUUAUGUACAUAUACAUAUUGCAUUAGAGGCAGAGAGCAGUAGGGAUCCUCUGACCUCACAGGCAGCACAUUGGUCCUCAGUUUGAGAAGGACUGGAGUUCUGUGGCAGAUCUAGGGAUAGCUUUUCAAGAAUGUUUUCCAAAUGCGCCAUCUAAUAUUAUUGCAUAAAGUUCAGGGCCUUUUAUUGUUGGGAAAACCUGCACCAAUGUACUGUAUAUUUCCAAUCUUAUGCUUCUAUUUUCUGUCAUUCAGGAAAAACUGACAUGAGAUUUAGAUCUCCACAGAGUGUUUCUGGCUCAGGGUCAGGUGGCUCUCAGCUGCACUCUCUCUCUCUCUCUCACAUCUCUGCUGUUUUUUUGUUGUGUGGUUUUUUUUUAAUCUACUGUUGACUUUUCUCUGUUUUGCCUUAGAGCUUUUCUAUUUUGGAAUAAAUGAUGCUUAACCUCCUACUGUUGUGUUCCUCUGCCUUCAUUGUGCUUGGUAGUAGACACGAUUCGUGACAAAAGUCAACCCGACAAAGGUUAUGGCAGG